rnacentral:lncRNA from 10 species
GUCAGGGGGAAGAGUCAGUGCAGUGUGAGUCAUGUUGGGGGCAGGUGGUGGCUCCCUGGCGACAAAGGCAUGGGUGUGGAGGUUAGGGCUGGGGAGAAAGGAGAGCUGGUAGCCUUUUCCUUUUGUUUUGUGUCAUUUACGUACCAUAAAAUGCACACGUUAGUGUAGAAUUCAGUGGCUAUUAGUGCGUUCACAGAGUUGUAAAACAUCACUGCAAUCUCGUUUUAAGUGACUGGUUGAGCUUCUGUGAGGCUGAGGAUGCAGACCAGGCCUCCGGGCUGGUGAGGACUGGACUUCCUGACUGUUCCUCUGCAGACUGGCAAGCCCGUUUGUGCCCUGCUCCGCACUGGGGGCCUGGCAGAGAAGAGGGGCUGGAGCCCAGUGGGGUUUACCAGCAUCUUCACCAAGCGCUGUGCCCAGGAAUGAGGUGCUGUUCCUGGCCGCACGUCUGGGGGACGCUGCCUUCGAAUCCACUCACAGGUAGGCCGGCCCUGCCUGCAGGCCUCUUUCCACCCAGCCAGCAAACACCUCACCGUCUUCAUGUGUCCUGUGGCUUUUCAGCAGGCUGGAUUUUCUCCUCACAGCGUCUGGAAAACAGAGUCAAGUUUCUCCCUCCCCUCCCUCGCUACUCUCUCCUCCCUCUGCAGGCUCCGGAUCAGGCUGCCAAUCUGUAAAUGAUGUUUUAGGUUUUUCUUUGUUGUUGUUUUGGUGCUGUGAAGCCUGCCUUGUUAACACCAGGUGCUGAAAGAUUAAAACUUAUCAAUCACCAUCAUCAAGGUGAGGAGGGGUAGGAUGGUUUCAACUAGUCCCAAAUUUCCUGGAGGAAUUUGGCCUCUUGUCAAUUUCCCUCUCCCGAGGCUGACAUUGCCAGCAGAGCAAAGUCCUCUCCAGCUGCCCACUCUCAGGCUUUACUAAGUUAAAAAUCUCUUAGCUUGGGCUCUGUGCUAAGCACAAGAAAGGGACCAACAUUUCUUGACUGAUAAUAUAUUAGUUGUUUCUUGCUAUUUGACUGUGAGACUCUAAGAAUAGUAUAUUUUUCUGGAAGCAGAGUUUUAACAACCUAGAAAGCUUAAUUAAGCUUUCCUGCUGCAUUGUUUAAAUUGAAUUAGUAGCAGAAGAGUAUUUUUAGAAGUGAAAUGAUAAUUUCAUGUAACAGAUAACAUGUCUGAAUAUUCUUAAACCUCUAUAUAGGCCAAAACAUAGCGACAGAAUUGACUUCACAAGUCUAAAAGUAUGAACGGUUUGCUUUUACACACGUCAUCACUAUCAUAUCUAUUUAUUCAAUUUAUACCUUGAAUUCCUUUUUCCUAAGUACAAAGUGAGCCGGGGUUGGGAGGAGAACUUUUAAAAGCACUUUACAAAUGUGACGGGCCUGGAGUGAUUUUUCAGUUCCUGGUUUUGCCGGUCUGGGUGGGCUCACUUCCUAGCUUUCAGUCUUGUUUGGAUUUUGUUUCUUUUAUUCAGAGGAACCAGGAUAUCACUUAGUGGUGACUGCUUUGUGUAUUACUUUGGAUAGUAAAAGUACCUGAUAUGGUUUGGCUGUGUCCACACCAAAAUCUCAUCUUGAAUUGUAACUCCCACAAUUCCCACAUGUCAUGGGAGGAACCCAGUGGGAGGUGAUUGAAUCAUGGAGGCAGGUCUUUCCCAUGCUACUCUUGUGAUAAUGACUACAUCUCACGAGAUCUGAUUAUAUAAGGGGGAGUUGCCGGGCACAAGUUCUCUUCUCUUGUCUGCUGCCAUGUGAGACAUACCUUUCACCUUCCGCCAUGAUUGUGAGGCCUCUCCAGCCACGUGGAACUGUAAGUCCAAUAAACCUCUUUCUUUUGUAAAUUGCCCAGUCUCAGGUAUGUCUUGAUCAGCAGCAUGAAAAUGGAUUAAUACAGUACCAUUAAAAAGGUUUGUUAUGAGGAAGCUGCAGGUUAAAAUAGAAAGCAGCCGUUUAAUUCAUGCUUUGAAGUGUGCAUCUCCUCAGAAACUCGGGUGACCAAAGUGAGGUCCCGGAUGGCAUAUUUUCAAAUGAAUGCUCGAGCUGUGAUGGACCUUUAAGACUCUAGUGAAAAAUGUGACAUGAAAGUGGUCCAAAUGAAACUCUCAGAUUUUCCUGGGUCUUUCUAUAUAAGUAGAAUAAAGACUGUUUUAUACUGGUAAUGUGGAAAAUGUAGUUUGCAAAUUAUGGCCACCACAACUCCUGAUGAAGAUGACUAAAAUAUUAAUAUAAAAAUAAUGGGAACUGGCCAGGCACGGUGGCUCAUGCCUGUAAUCCCAUUACUUUGGGAGGCCGAGGCAGGCAGAUCAUCUGAGGUCAGGAGUUUGAGACCAGCCUGGUCAACAUGGUAAAACGCCGUGUCUACUAAAAAAAUACAAAAAAUUAGCCAGGCGUGGUGGUGUGCACCUGUAAUCCCAGCUACUCGGGAGGCUGAGGCAGGAGAAUCACUUGAACCCAGGAGGUGAAGGUUGCAGCGAGCCGAGAUUGAGCCACUGCACUCCAGCCUGGGCAACAGAGCUAGACUCCGUCUCUAAAUUAAAUUAAAUUAAAUAAAAUAAUGGAAACCAUCUAAUAGAAGUAGAGGAAGUGAUCUCAAGUAGGAAUCAUCUAUAUUUGCUUGCUACAGGUUUGGCAAAGGGGCUGAGAGGGCUUCUUGGAGAAACCUGAGGGUGAGUUGGGGUGAGGCAUGAUGAAUUCUAUUUGAGGAAUUUUCCAUGUCCUCUGAGAUAGGUUUGCCAAUUCAGAUACAUCAAUGAGAUCACGCAAAGAUAUGGGACUGGGCAAGACUGUCCCAAAGGAAAGUGGCGUGCGAAGACAACUCCUUGAGGUGGCCACAGGCACAGGCAAAAAUCAAGUUAUUUCUUGCUUUCUUUUGAUAUUUGUGACAUCAGAUGAUUCUGCUCUUUAAUCUCACUUUUUCAUGUUUACCUUUAGCAGGAGUUUCAGUAUUUCUCCAUGUCUCCUCCUCUGCCAAACACUGAAAAUUCAGGAACCUUUUGUAAACAAUCACGCACCAUUUCUUCUAAAUUUGUAUAGUACCUCCUUCAAUUAGGGCUUUUCUGGUGACCUGCAAAACCUCUGGGCUUCCCUUCAUCUUCAGCUGCUCACUUAGCUCAGCUUCCUACAAGGUAAACAGAGGUGGGCUCACUUUCAUUUCAGGUUUCCUAAAUACUGAGCCUAAGUCUUUCUUCAGAAGAGCUAUCCCCCACACCCAUGGAGACAUGGUCCAGGCUACUCCUACACUCAGCCUAUUAGUAAUCUCAGAGGCUGCUGCGGGUCAGUGCCAGGCACCAGCAAGUUGUAGGAAUGUGACUGAUGUUACCAAUUCAUAACAUUUCUUUUUUCUUUUUUUUUGAGAUGGAGUUUUGCUCUUGUUGCCCAGGCUGGAGUGCAAUGACGCGAUCUCAGCUCACUGCAACCUCCACCUCCUGGGUUCAAGCGAUUCUUCUGCCUCAGCCUCCCAAGUAGCUGGGAUUACAGGCAUGCACCACCAUACUUGACUAAUUUUUGUAUUUUUAGUAGAGAUGAGGUUUCACUAUAUUGUUCAGGCUGGUCUCGAACUCUGACCUCAAGUGAUCCACCCGCCUCAGCCUCCUAAAGUGCUGGGAUUAUAGGUGUGAGACACCAUAACAUUUCUUUCCUUAAAUUUGGAUUUUCUUUCAGAGCAAACAUAGGCACUGGUAAAAUUAUGCUUAUUUGUAAGUAAUGCCUUGUUCCUAAAGCAGUGGUAUUUCAUCAUCUCCCCCAACCCCCACCACUCUCUUCUUUUCUCUUUUCUCCAGUCUCUUUACUCUUCACACUUCCUAAGUCUGCAGAGUUUCUUGGCCACAAAAACUCCCCAAAGGGUGCGGCUCGCUCUUCUGCAGCUGACACAAGGACCCCUGCUGCCACACUCGUCUUCCCGAUGCCAUUUUCUCGGUGUUCACACAGCUCUUUCUGUGAGCUGUUCAUUUUAACUAAAGCUGCAUCCCACAGCUUAUUUUUGUAGUGACCCCAGAUCAACAGGCCAACUAUUAAUACUCUGGCCAUGAAUCUGAUGUAAAGCAAUGCUGUGAAUUUAAUAUCAAGCAAAAGCUUAAUUGAUGAAACUCCAGCUUGUUUUGUUGUUGCUGCUUUUACAUAAUACGUCAAAUGGAGAUGGUUCAGGGAAACCUAAUGAAGACCGCGUGGCCAUGGCCCACCAGACAGUCACACAAAUAAAACACGUUUGGAAUGAAAUCCUAUUCCAAGCCUCAUCAUACAUGAAUCUUACAUUAAAUGAAGAGAUAACAUUCUCUGGGCCAGGCACGGUGGCUCACACCUGUAAUCCCAGCAAAUUGGGAGGCUGAGGCGGGCAGAUAACCUGAGAUCAGGAGUUCGAGACCAGCCUGGCCAACAUGGCGAAACCCCAUCUCUACUGAAAAACAUACAAAAAAUUAGCUGGGUGUGGUGGCGUGCACCUGUAAUCCCAGCUACUCGGGAGGCUGAGGCAGGAGAAUCGCUUGAACCGGAGGCAGAGGUUGCAGUCAGCUGACAUCGUGCCAUUGCACUGCAGCCUGGGCGACAAAGUGAGACUCAAAAAAAAAAAAAAAAAGAUAACGUUUUCCAAGAUUGCCCUGGUUGAAAAGAACUGAACUGAUCAUGUGUGUUUAUAAAAGUAGUAGCAAUUUAGUACUUGCUUGUAAAAGAAUUAAUCUUCCAUCUGCUUGCUCAAAUAAAGUCACAGAGGAAGAAACUGGAAGAAAUUGAUAUUUUCAAAUACAAUAGAAAGAAAAAGACUUAGGUUUAAAAAUAUAUUAAAUAUACAUAUACAUAUAAAUUAUAUUAAAUGAUAUUGUUAGACAUGUAAUACUUUUUUGUUUUUUUGAGAUGAAGUCUCACUCUGUCACCCAGGCUGGAGUGCAAUGGCACGAUCUUGGCUCACUGCAACCUCCACCUCCCCGGUUCAAGCAAUUCUCCUGCCGCAGCUUCUUGAGUAGCUGGAACUACAGGCACCUGCCACCACACCCAGCUAAUUUUUGUAUUUUUAGUAGAGAAGAGGUUUCGCCAUGUUGGCCAGGCUGGUCUCGAACUCCUGACCUCAUGUGAUCUGCCCACCUCGGCAAAGGUGCUGGGAUUAUAGGCAUGGGCCACUGCAUCUGGCCAGUAGACAUGUAAUACUAUGCAGUGAUUAUGUACAUCUAUGUCUGUUGAUAUAGAUUUUCAUAAUAAGUGAAGAAAGCAGGUUAUAAAACUGCAUAGAAAGAUGCCAUUUAAGUCAGACCACAUAUGUAUGUGUAGGAUUCAUACAAAAGAAUGAAAAGAUAGGCAAAUAUUCAUCAAAAGAGAGGGGAUUAAUUAAAUUUCAAGCUUUUACGUCAUGCGUUUCUUUAGCCUGCAGUAUUACUUUUGUAAUUAGAAAAAGGCUAUUUCAAUAUGAUUUAGAAACUAUAAAAAAUACUACAUGGAUAGAGAAUUCCUGGAAGGAGACUGGGAUUAAAGUACACUUCUGUACUUAAAAAAAAAAGAUCAGGUCUUCCCUUUUAGGGUAGUCAAUCCUGUAAUUCCAGCACUUUGGGAGGACGAGGCCAGGCGUUCAAGACCAGCCUGGCCAACAUGGCGAAACCCUGUCUCUACUAAAAAUACAAAAAUUAGCUGGGUGUGGUGGCAUGUACCUGUAUUCUCGGCUACUCGGGAGGCUGAGGCAGGAGAAUCACUUGAACCCGGGAGGAGGAGGUUGCAGUGAGCCAAGAUCGCGCCUCUGCACUCCAGCCUGGGAGACAGAGAGAGACUCGAUCUCAAAAUAAAAAGAAAUAAAGAAAAGAAAAGAGAAGAAAAAAGAUUAUAUGCACAGGAUUCAACAGUAAUAGCUCAAAACAUAACUGACCUAGAUUCUUUCAAAUAGCAAGAUCAGAUUAAUAAUAUUAUAGCUGCAUUUUAUAUUUUUCUCUUAAAAUUCUUUGCCUGCUCAAUUAAAGAAUACAUACCCAAAGAAAGCAAGAUAUAAUGACGUUUUUUAUAUACAAUUUUAAAUCCCUAUCAUUUAUUUAAAAUCUAGACGUAGCUUUGAUCUAUUGAAUUAAACUGCGUACCAUCAAAGAGGGUGUAAUUCUUCAGUCAAUAAAUCUAACGGUGCAGGUCAGUGCCAGGCACCAGCAAGUUGUAGGAGGACCUUUGGUAGAUAAUUCCUUCCUGUACAUUUUUGUUCUAAAGAAUGGUACCAACACAGCAUUGGAAACUGAGGAAAAAAGCAAAUAUGGCAUCCAAAUGCUUUACAGAGGAGUACUUCCUAGUACUUUACAGAAUUUUCCGUUUGAUUUUAUGUUCAAACACAUUAAUUUCAUGGUGUCUUACUUUCAGCAGGUUUCAGUCCUUGAGGAGCGCUCACUAGGAUGGUAAUUGUUUGAUCGAUAGAUUAAGUGAGUUGGAAGACUCUCCAAGUGAAAAUUUAAAAUUACUGCAGUUUUGGCCUGAUGAUGUUAACCAGCAAGAACAGAAUCUGAAACCAGAUGAGCUGUUAGUACUGCUUUCAUCUGUUUUACAGCCACAGCGACAGCAGUUCCCUGGCUUCUGGAAGGAGUGUCGGUCUAUCCAAAAAAUGUACUAACAGAUAUGUAAAGUCUGUCAUCCAUUUGCAGCAAAUUUUGCCUACGGUAUGAAAUAGGAGUUCAAUUUGACAUUGAAUAUUGAUAUCUUAGCAAUAUUAUCUCCCAAUCUGUGAACACGAAAUUUCUUUAUAUUUAUUCAAAUUAUCUUUGGUUUUUAAUGAUGUUAAAUCCAAGUAUUCUUUGUGAUGCUGUUGUAAAUGGAAUUUUUUGUGUUGUUCAUUGCUAAUGUAUAAAAACCAAUGAUGUUUGUAUAUUAAUCUUGUAUCCUGCAACCUCAUUGAACUAGUUUAUUAGCUCUAGUAAUAUGUUGGUGUGAAUCCCUUAAUAUUUUCUACAUACAAGAUCAUGUCAUCUGCAAAUUGUUUUACUUCUUCCUUUCCAAUUUGGAUGCUUUUUAUUUCAUCUUGCCUACUGCUUUGGCUACAACCUCCAGUACAAGAUUGAAUAGAAGUGAUGAGACAGAACAUCCUUGUCUUAUUUGUGAUCUCUGGGGGGGAAGGCUUACAGUAUUUUGCAUCAACAUAUCAGCUACGGGUUUUUCAUAGAUGUCCUUUCUCAGGAUGAAAAAGUCCAUGUUUGGCUUUUUGAAUGUUUUCAUCUAAGAGUUUUGGAUUUUGCCAAAUGUUAAAUGCUUCUUCUGUAUGCAUUGAGAUGAUCUUGUUGUUUUUGUCCUUUAUUCUAAUAAUAUGGUGUACUACAUUGAUUUCUGUAUGUUGAAGUUUGUAUUCCUAAGAUAAAUCUCACUUGCUUAUGGUGUACAUUCCUUUCUAUAUGUUGCUGGAUUUACUUUCAUUAGUAUUUUGUUGAGGAUUUUUGCCUCUAUAUUGAGGGCUAUUGGCCUGUAGUUGUUUUCUUUGCCUGAUUUCUAAUGUGGGUGAUACUGAAUUGGGAAGGGUAUCCUCCUUCUCUGUUUUUUGGUGUUUGUGAAUAAUUGGUGGUAUUCUGUAAAUGUUUGACAGAAUUCACCAGUGAAGACAUCUGCUCCUGGACUUUUUCCCGUGGGAAGUUUGUUUUUAAGAGAUGGGAGUCUCACUCUCACCCAGGCUGGAGUGCAGUGGUGUGACAAUAGCUCACUACAGCCUUGAACUUGUGGGCUUAAGGGAUACUUCCACCUCAGCCUCCCAAGUAGCUGGGACUGCAGGUGUGCACCACCACACCUAUUUUUUUUUAAUUUAUUUUUUUUUAGAGACAAGGUCUCACUAUGUUGCCCAGGCUGGUCUUAAACUUCUGGCCUAAAGCCAUCCUCCUGCUUCAGCCUCCCAAGUAGCUGGCAUUACAUGUGUGAGCCACCAUGCCUGGCUGUGGGAAGUUUUUUGAUUACUCAUUAAUUUAAUCUCUUGUUUGGAUCUAUUUAAAGUUUUUAUUUCUUCUUCAGUUUUGAUAUGUCUUUCUAGAAAUUUGUCCAUGUCAUCUAAGUUCCCUAAUUUGUUGUCAUAUGAACUCUUAUUUUUAUUUCCAUAAGAUUGGUAGUAGUCUUUCAUUCCUGACUUUGGUAAUCUAUCUUCUCUAUUUUUUUUUCUAGGCUGCCUAAGGGUGUGUCAACUUUAUUGACUUUUUCUAAGAACCAGCUUUCGGUUUGAUUUUCUCUGUUUUUCUUUCUAGGCUGCCUAAGGGUUUGUCAACUUUAUUGACUUUUUCUAAGAACCAGCUUUUGGUUUGAUUUUCUCUGUUUUUCUUUCUAUCCUCUAUUUCAUUUAUUUUGAUUCUAAUCCAUAUUAUUUCUUUGUUCUGCUUGCUUUAGGUUUAGUUUGCUAUUAUUUUCUAGUUUCUGAAGGUUUAGAGCUAGGUUAUUGAUUUGAAGCUUUUAACAGAGACAUUUAUAGCUAUACAUGGUCCUUUAAGUGAUGGUUUAGCUGCAUCUCAUAAGUUCUGGUAUGUUCUGUUAUUUUCAUUACUCUCUUAAGGGACUUUGUAAUUUCCCUUGUGAUUCUUUUCUUUGACCCAUUGGUUAAAAGGAAUGUACUGUUUAAUUUCCACAUUUUUUUAGGUUUCCCAAAUUUUCUUCCAAUUUUAAAUUUCAUCCCAUUGUGGUCAGAGAACGUGUUUUGUAUAAUUUCAACGAUUAAAAUUAUGCCUUCUUGAUGGAUUGUCCCUUUUAUUAUGUAAUGUCUUUGUCUCUACUAACAAUUUUUAUCUUAAAGUCUGUUUUGUCUGAUGUUAUAUCCACUCAAGCUUUUUCCUUACAGUUUACAUGUGUUUUUUUCAUCCUUUUACUUUCAGCCUACUUGUGUCAUUGAAUCUAAAGUGUUUCUUAGUGGGCAGCAUAUAGUUGGACCAUGAUUUUUAUCCAUUCUACCAUCUUUGCCUUUUGAGUGUUUAAUCCAUUUAUGCUUAAUGCCAAUUACUGAUAAGGCAGGGUUUAGUCUGCCAUUUUGCUAAUUUUUUUCUUUUUUUUUUUUUUUAAUAGAGACAAGGCCUCACUAUGUUGUCCAUGCUGGCCUUGAACUCCCCAGGCUCAAGCAAUCCUCCUGCUUCAGCCUCCCAAAGUGCUGGGAUUAUAGGCAUGAGCCACUGUGACCAGAUUUUUUGCUUUCUAUGUCUUUUGUCUUUUUUGUUCCUUUAUUCCUCUGUUACUUCCAUAUCUUCUUUUGUUAGCAGCUAUUUUCUAGUGUACCAUUUUCUUUGUUGUAGCUUUUACUAUAUAUUCUCUAGCUAUGUUCUUAGUGUUUUUCCUGAGGAUUAUUAACAUUUCAAUUUAUAACAACCUAGUUUGGAAUAAUGCUAACUUCAACAGUAUAGAAAAAUUUUCUUCCUAAGUCUCUUCCCUCCUCCUUCCUUUGUAAUGUUGUCAUACAAAUUGUUUUUUCACCUUAUGCCCAGAUUUUUAAUUAUUGUUUUAUGCAGUUGCCUCAAAUCAGAUAGGAGGAAAGUUACCAAAAAUGCAUUUGUACUGCCUUUUAUAUUUACCAAUAUAACUACCUUUACCAGUGCUAUUUCUUCAUGUGCAUUUGAGUUACUAUUAUCUUUUCGUUUCAGCCUUUAAGUUCUCUGUUUUUCUUGUAGAGCAGCCUUGCUAAUAAAUUCUGUUUUUGUUUAUCUGGGCAUGUCCUAAUCAUUUCUGAAGGAUAGUUUUGCUGGAAAUAGAAUGCUUAUUUGAUAGUCAUUCACUUUCAGCACUUGGAAUACAUCAUCCCACUGUUUUCUACACUCCAUAGUUUCUGAUGAAGAUCCCUAGUACACGAGUCACUUCUCUCUUUGCUUCCAAGAUGCUUUGGUACACAGUGUGAUUUUGUAUCCAGGCACGGAUCUCUUGAGUUUAUACUACUUAAGGUUCAUUGAGCUUCUUGGGUAUGUAAAUCAAUGCUUUUCAUCAAAUUUCAGUCUUUGGCCAUUAUUUUUUUUUAAAAUAUUCUACCUCUUUCUCUCCUCUCGUCUGGGACUCCAAUUAUGCAUAUAUUGGUAUGCAUGAUGGUGUGCCACAGCUCUCUGAGGCUCUAUUCAUUUUUCUUUAUUCUUUUUUCUGUUUCUCAGACUAGAUAGAGUUCCUCUCAUGAAUUUUUCAUUUCAGUUAUUGUAUUUUCAACUUCAUGAUUUAUAUUUGGUUCUUUUAAAAAUAAUUUUUCAUUUUCUAUUUAGUGAGACAUUUUCAUACUUUUAGUUCUUUACACAUUAUUUUUCUUUAGUUCUCUGAACCUAUUUAAAAUAGCCAAUUUAAAGUCUUCAUCUAAAAAUCCAAUGUCUAGACUUCCUCAGGUGUCUAUUUUUUAUUCCUCCCAUGUAUGGAACAUACUUUCUUCUUUAUGUGUCUCAUAAUUUUUCUGUGGAAAACUGGACAUUUCAAAG